GUGGUAAUGCCGGAUGCUCCAUCACACCGCAUGGUGUGUUGGGAAAGCCUUUGCGGCAUGGGAUGGGGUCGCGUCCUAUCAGCUUGAUGGCGGGGUAACGGCCCACCAUGGCUUCGACGGGUAGCCGGCCUGAGAGGGCGACCGGCCACAUUGGGACUGAGAUACGGCCCAGACUCCUACGGGAGGCAGCAGUGGGGAAUAUUGCACAAUGGGCGCAAGCCUGAUGCAGCGACGCCGCGUGAGGGAUGGAGGCCUUCGGGUUGUAAACCUCUUUUGUUAGGGAGCAAGGCAUUUUGUGUUGAGUGUACCUUUCGAAUAAGCACCGGCUAACUACGUGCCAGCAGCCGCGGUAAUACGUAGGGUGCAAGCGUUAUCCGGAAUUAUUGGGCGUAAAGGGCUCGUAGGCGGUUCGUCGCGUCCGGUGUGAAAGUCCAUCGCUUAACGGUGGAUCCGCGCCGGGUACGGGCGGGCUUGAGUGCGGUAGGGGAGACUGGAAUUCCCGGUGUAACGGUGGAAUGUGUAGAUAUCGGAAAAAAACACCA
rnacentral:rRNA from 1 species